UACGUAGGGUGCAAGCGUUAAUCGGAAUUACUGGGCGUAAAGCGUGCGCAGGCGGCUUUGCAAGACAGAUGUGAAAUCCCCGGGCUUAACCUGGGAACUGCAUUUGUGACUGCAUGGCUGGAGUGCGGCAGAGGGGGGAUGGAAUUCCGCGUGUAGCAGUGAAAUGCGUAGAUAUGCGGAGGAACACCGAUGGCGAAGGCAAUCCCCUGGGCCUGCACUGACGCUGAGACGCGAAAGCGUGGGGAGCAAACAGG
rnacentral:rRNA from 1 species